rnacentral:rRNA from 1 species
UACGUAGGGGGCAAGCGUUGUCCGGAUUUAUUGGGCGUAAAGAGCGUGUAGGCGGUUUGGUAGGUCCGUUGUGAAAACUCGAGGCUCAACCUCGAGACGCCGGCGGAAACCAUCAGGCUAGAGUCCGGAAGAGGAGAGUGGAAUUCCUGGUGUAGCGGUGAAAUGCGUAGAUAUCAGGAGGAACACCGGCGGUGUAGACGGCUUUCUGGACCGUAGCUGACGCUGAGACACGAAAGCGUGGGUAGCAAACAGG